CCCGACUGCUAUCGGAUUGGGAUUUAGCCAUGUUUUUUGUGCGUUCCUGCCUACAGGCGCGCAGCGUACGGCUCAGUAACACGGAGUCAACCUGCCCUGGAGACGAGGACAAGCCCGGGAAACUGGGGCUGAUCCUCGAUAGAUGACCUCAUCUGGAAGGAGUGGUCGUCCAAAGGGGGACACGGGUAUGCUCUGUGUCAUUCGCUCCAGGAUGGGACUGCGGCCGAUCAGGCUGUUGGCGGGGUAAUGGCCCACCAAACCUGUAACCGGUAAGGGGCUAGAGACAAGGAACCCGGGAUGGACACUGACACAAGGGUGCCGGCCCCACCGGGCGGCGGGGGCGGCAAACCAUACCUACGCCGCGACAGCCGUGACGAGGCUAGUCCGACUGCCCGCCGCUCGAGAGAGGAGGCCCCCGCCGGUAAAACGCCGCCGAGAUAAGGGGGGGGG
rnacentral:rRNA from 1 species